rnacentral:tRNA from 1 species
GGGCAGGUCAGCUCAGUUGGUUAGAGAGUGGUGCUGAUAACACCGAGGCCGUGGGUUCGAUCCCUGCUCAGUCCC